CAGUCGCCACGGUAAUACAGAGGGUGCAAGCGUUAAUCGGAAUUACUGGGCGUAAAGCGCGCGUAGGUGGUUCGCCAAGUUGGAUGUGAAAUCCCCGGGCUCAACCUGGGAACUGCAUCCAAAACUGGCGAGCUAGAGUAUGGUAGAGGGUGGUGGAAUUUCCUGUGUAGCGGUGAAAUGCGUAGAUAUAGGAAGGAACAUCAGUGGCGAAGGCGACCACCUGGACUGAUACUGACACUGAGGUGCGAAAGCGUGGGGAGCAAACAGGAUUAGAUACCCCAGUAGUCCCUGUCUCUUAUAC
rnacentral:rRNA from 1 species